UGGCCCAACGGGGAUUGCCUCAGUAGCGGCGAGUGAAGCGGCAAGAGCUCAGAUUUGAAAUCGUGCUUUGCGGCACGAGUUGUAGAUUGCAGGUUGGAGUCUGUGUGGAAGGCGGUGUCCAAGUCCCUUGGAACAGGGCGCCCAGGAGGGUGAGAGCCCCGUGGGAUGCCGGCGGAAGCAGUGAGGCCCUUCUGACGAGUCGAGUUGUUUGGGAAU
rnacentral:rRNA from 1 species